UUGGCCUCAAAUCGAGUAGGACUACCCGCUGAACUUAAGCAUAUCAAUAAGCGGAGGAAAAGAAACUAACAAGGAUUCCCCUAGUAACGGCGAGUGAAGAGGGAAAAGCUCAAAUUUUGAAUCUGAUGCCUUUGGUAUCCGAAUUGUAAUCUAGAGAAGUGUUUUCUGUGAUGGACCGUGCACAAGUCUCCUGGAAUGGAGCGUCAUAGAGGGUGAGAAUCCCGUAUAUGGCACCGACUCCCAUUGCUCUACGAUACACUCUCGACGAGUCGAGUUGUUUGGGAAUGCAGCCCCAAAUGGGUGGUAAUGUCAUCUAAAGCUUAAUAUUGGCGAGAGAACGAUAGCGCAACAAGGUACCGGUGAGGGGAAAAGAAUAAAAAAGCACUAUUGGGAAAGAGA
rnacentral:rRNA from 1 species